CACGUAGUUAGCCGGAGCUUUCUUGCAGGGUACCGUCAUUUUCGUCCCCUGCGACAGAACUUUACAACCCGAAGGCCGUCUUCAUUCACGCGGCAUCGCUGCAUCAGGGUUUCCCCCAUUGUGCAAUAUCCCCACUGCUGCCUCCCGUAGGAGUCUGGGCCGUGUCUCAGUCCCAAUGUGGCCGUUCAACCUCUCAGUCCGGCUACCGAUUGUCGGUUUGGUGGGCCGUUACCCCGCCAACUGCCUAAUCGGACGCGAGCCCAUCUUUCAGCGGAUUGCUCCUUUGAUAUCAGUGCCAUGCGACUCCGAUAUUUAUGCGGUAUUAGCGUUCGUUUCCAAACGUUAUCCCCCUCUGAAAGGCAGGUUGCUCACGUGUUACUCACCCGUCCGCCACUAAGUUCAGAUGCAAGCAUCUUCACUCCGUUCGACUUGCAUGUGUUAGGCGUGCCGCCAGCGUCGUCCUGAGCCAGGAUCAAACUCU
rnacentral:rRNA from 1 species